AGUGACUUCGCCGCUGCUGUAGUUCCCCGGCUGGAUGCGGUGACUGGUGCCAGUGCUCAGGCGCCCGCUGCCCUUGACCUCCCGCCCCGCGAGCCCUAACUCAGCGCAGGAGGACCGGCUGCCGCCGCCGCCGCCGCCAGAUCCACACAACUUAAAGAUCUGCUGUCGAGUGAAUGGGGAAGUGGUCCAGAGCAGCAACACCAACCAGAUGGUAUUCAAGACAGAGGACCUGAUAGCCUGGGUGUCCCAGUUUGUUACCUUUUACCCAGGGGAUGUCAUCCUGACUGGGACCCCCCCACCUCCACCCAGGUGUCGGUGUAUUCAGGAAACCUCCUGUCUUUCUCAAGGUCUCUGAAGGUCCAGACAGCACUGAUGGCGAGCUUUGGGUCCGCACACUCUGGAAAGAAGAGAGAAGUGAAGGCUCUAGGAGCCUGGGCUGACUGGUUGGGACUCACCGAAGAUCCCUUCUUCCUGGGCGGUGGCCUGCAGGAACUGGAACAGCUGCUCUGUGUAGCCCAACUCUGCAGAAGAGAGAAGACCUAGACCUGGCACCCAGCACAGACACAGCCUGCCUCGAGGACUGCAAGGGAACAAGGGCCUCACCAGUAUCGGGCAGCUGGCCCUGGCGGAGGAAGGCGGCAGCCUGUGCAAAGGCCUUGAGCAGCGGGCUGAGCAGGCGGCAGAGGAAAAGAAAGAAAUCUGGGCAGUGUGACUGCUGGCUGAGCUGGAGGGGACAGGCCGGGGUGAGUGCAGCUCCCCACCGCCUCCCUACCACCUCCCUCCAGGGGCAGCUUUUUGAAACACACCCUGAAGUACCGGCCGUCAGCCUCUCCGAAGUCAUCACUGUCACUAUCAGUAAAGUCCCCACUCGGUUUCCACAGCA
rnacentral:lncRNA from 1 species